rnacentral:sRNA from 1 species
GUAUGAUAUACUUGUUACAGCAGACAAGUUAAGAUGGUGGCUAUCCCGAAUGGAGGUGGUGCUUAUGGUGUAACAGCUAGAAGCCCAGAUUCUAGGAAAGGAGAUGCCUAGUGUCCGUAUCGGAUGCGCUACAACUAAUGAUUAGCUUUGGGAGGUUUACCCUAACACUAAU